rnacentral:tRNA from 1 species
AAUAAGAUGCCUGAAUAAAAGGGUUAUCUUGAUAGGAUAAAUCAUGUAUGUUAUACUCUUAUUG